AUGUGAAGUUACAGAGGAGCUGGACUGAGUGUCUCUCCAGUAUCUCCUGCUCUGAUGGGGAGGGGUGUUCAUGUGAAGUUACAGAGGAGCUGGACUGAGUGUCUCUCCAGUAUCUCCAGCUCUGAUGGGGGGGGGUGUUCAUGUGAAGUUACAGAGGAGCUGGACUGAGUGUCUCUCCAGUAUCUCCAGCUCUGAUGGGGAGGAGUGUUCAUGUGAAACACUGAUAGAUCAUUCUGGAUGGAUUCCUUAUCAGCGUGUCUGUAUUAACCCAACUUCUCUUGUCUGUUUCCCUCUGAAGGUUCUGUUGACCAGUUAGAGGAAAUUCUGUCCCAGUAUGAGGAGCUGAAAUCCACCCAGUAAGCCGUUGUUCUCAGAGUUAUUACUGGUGUUGCCACUGAGCUGCUGUAGAGUUCGGGGCUCAUAGUUUCCGCUUCUGUGUUCUGUCUCCUCCUCUGUGCCUCGCCUUUCGCCUCAGUGAGCUGGUAGACGCUGCGCGCAGAGCUUUAAUUUCCAGGGUGGAGGAACUGACCAAUGAGAGAGCAGCCCUGAGCCUGGAGGUGGGAUCUGCCCAGGAGACUGUUGCCCGAUUGGAGGGAAAACUGAAGGAGAUGGAGGAGGAAGUGAGGCGGUGAGCGAUCAGGAAGUACCUCCCACAAACCUUUCCCGAUCCUGUCACUGCAGCUUAUGAUCACUUACUUACCCAUGAUCACUCACUGGCCCUUCAUAAAGUUUAUUUUUGUAGGCUGUAGCGACACACUGAGACACUGGUUGGCAGGACAGCACUUGUUUAGCAUGUGGUGCAGUGACACAGCGUGCCCAGCAGGGGGCAGCAGGAUCUCAGGCUGCUGUAGUACCUCCGGAACACUAGAUGGCAGCAGAAUUCAUGACCAGUCUCCCCAUCUCCCGUACGAAAAGGCUUGUGAGGCGGAAGACUGAGGUGUUUCAAACUGUCGGUCUGUUGCACUACAGCCAGACAGUUCAAGGCCUUUGGGAAGUGGGGAUUGAGAGGCUGCCUUUCGCAGCUGUGCAGCCUCCAGAAGUGAUGUGUGUGAAUGAUACUAAUCGAGCUUCUCUCUCCGUCAACUUGUUUCCUAGGCUUCGUAAAGAGCUGGACGAGUGUCAGAGCGAGGACCCAGAGGCCUCCCUCCCACUCUCCCUGCGCCAGCGCUUCUCCCGCUCGGAGAUGGCCAGGGUGGUGAUGGAGAGGAACCAGUACAAGGAGAAACUGAUCGACCUGCAGGACGCCCUGAGGCGCACACAGCAGCUCCGGUGCGGUCUCUGUCUCCGGUCCUGCUCCGUCCCUGUCCCUCCUCUCUCCCUCCUCUCUCUCCCUCCUCUCUCUCCCUCCUCUCUCUCCUGAGUCUCUCUCCUGAGUCUCUCUCCUGAGUCUCUGCCCGAUGUCACUGUGCUUCACUGCUCUUGUGUGUCCGGAAGUCUGUCCCCCUGUCCACCUGACGGAUUGCUCUUGUCCUGCGUCU
rnacentral:lncRNA from 1 species